rnacentral:rRNA from 1 species
UACGUAGGGGGCAAGCGUUGUCCGGAAUCACUGGGCGUAAAGGGUGCGUAGGCGGGUUAUUAAGUCAGAGGUGAAAUCCUGGAGCUCAACUCCAGAACUGCCUUUGAUACUGAUAGUCUUGAGUAUGGGAGAGGUGAGUGGAACUGCGAGUGUAGAGGUGAAAUUCGUAGAUAUUCGCAAGAACACCAGUGGUGAAGGCGGCUCACUGGCCCAUUACUGACGCUGAGGCACGAAAGCGUGGGGAGCAAACAGG